rnacentral:rRNA from 1 species
UACGGAGGAUGCAAGCGUUAUCCGGAUUUAUUGGGUUUAAAGGGUGCGCAGGUUGUUUGAUAAGUCAGUGGUGAAAGUCUGUCGCUUAACGGUAGGAUUGCCAUUGAUACUGUUGGACUUGAAUAUGGAUGAGGUAGGCGGAAUGUGUAGUGUAGCGGUGAAAUGCAUAGAUAUUGCACAGAACACCGAUUGCGAAGGCAGCUUACUAAUCCAUCAUUGACGCUGAGGCACGAAAGCGUGGGGAUCAAACA